rnacentral:rRNA from 1 species
GACGAACGCUGGCGGCGUGCUUAACACAUGCAAGUCGAACGCUGAAGCACCAGCUUGCUGGUGUGGAUGAGUGGCGAACGGGUGAGUAAUACGUGAGUAACCUGCCCUUGACUCUGGGAUAAGCUCGGGAAACUGGGUCUAAUACUGGAUGCUACAUGUCACCGCAUGGUGGUGUGUGGAAAGGGUUUACUGGUCUUGGAUGGGCUCACGGGCUAUCAGCUUGUUGGUGAGGUAAUGGCUCACCAAGGCGACGACGGGCAGCCGGCCUGAGAGGGUGACCGGCCACACUGGGACUGAGACACGGCCCAGACUCCUACGGGAGGCAGCAGUGGGGAAUAUUGCACAAUGGGCGAAAGCCUGAUGCAGCGACGCCGCGUGAGGGAUGACGGCCUUCGGGUUGUAGACCUCUUUCAGCAGGGAAGAAGCCACAAGUGACGGUACCUGCAGAAGAAGCGCCGGCUAACUACGUG